GACAGAGGUGCCGAGCGUUAGGCGGAAUCACUGGGCUUAAAGCGUGUGUAGGCGGAUCGUUAAGUACCUUGUGAAAUCCCACGGCUCAACCGUGGAACUGCUGGGUAUACUGGCGGUCUUGAGCCACCUAGGGGCGAGCGGAACAAGCGGUGGAGCGGUGAAAUGCGUAGAUAUCGCUUGGAACGCCAACGGUGAAAACAGCUCGCUGGGGAUGUGCUGACGCUGAGACACGAAAGCCAGGGGAGCGAACGGG
rnacentral:rRNA from 1 species